GUGUAAAACACUAUCAAGCAAGUUGACUCAGUAUUCAUAUACUGUGGUAAGCUUCGAAGAGUAAUAAUUACGUUAUUAUAUCAAUCAAAGUUAUAAUAUCUUUAUAUCAUUAUUGUUCAACCAUUUGUUUAUUAAGCGUUUACAGGUAAUUCCGCAAUCAACCUGUAUAAAUCGAAAAGAGGCUAUUAUCCCCCCUUAUAGCCUCGGAUCUCGAUCCAAC
rnacentral:lncRNA from 1 species